GCAUCGGUGGUUCAGUGGUAGAAUGCUCGUCUGCCACGCGCGGCCCGGGUUCGAUUCCCGGCCGAUGCA
rnacentral:tRNA from 1 species